CUUGCCUUUUCCAGGUCCUACGUCGCAGGGGACUGACCCCUGGGCGCCCCACGCACUGGAAGGGUCAACCUCACCCGCAGGCGCCCCGGCGCCCCCGGGGAGGGGCCCGCCCCCACCACGCUCUGCUACGGGAGAAGCGGGAAGCAGGGCCGGGGCCCCGCAGGGACCCCUGGAUCCAGACCAGCUCAACUACGGCUAUGGAAACAGACCCGUGUCCCCUAGAAUUUUUAACCCGUCCUUAAGUUGUGGUCGUGCCCUGGCCACUCGGGACCAUAUACCCAAGGAGAGUUGUGGGGGACCAGUUUAUGUUUGUCAUUUUCAAAACCAAGCGGAGGAAAAGGGAGGCCGAUUAAAAUGACAUAUUUUUAUUUG